UUUCUGAAGAAUGAUGAAAUGUUUGAUCUGACCACAAUGUGAUGUGUUCAGUCCAACCCUGAGCUUCAGAUC